AUGGCGGAGGAACCGUCCGCCAAGCGUCAUCAUGCCGAGACGUCAGACAAGAGGAGCAACCUCGUCGACAUUAAAGUCCUCGGUGAGAAGCGCAACUACACCAGAACGCUCGAAGGGGUUGAGCUCCACAGCAAGGAGACGCUGGAGAUCGUCUGCACCAGCGAACCAGACAAGGCCGACGAGGUGAUCUCCAGGAUGUGGAUGAAGCUUGGCGGCAGGUUUCGUAGGAUCGUCGGCGUUGGUGUGCACUACACCAACGAAGAUGAACCUCCCCAGAUGGCGGCAGUCCUGCAGUUGUGCGUCGACGAACUCUGCUUGGUGUACCACAUCGCCGCGGCCAUAAAAUGGUGA
rnacentral:rRNA from 1 species